AUUGAACGCUGGCGGCAUGCCUUACACAUGCAAGUCGAACGGUAACGGGUCCUUCGGGAUGCCGACGAGUGGCGAACGGGUGAGUAAUAUAUCGGAACGUGCCCAGUAGUGGGGGAUAACUGCUCGAAGGAGCAGCUAAUACCGCAUAAGACCUGAGGGCGAAAGGGGGGGAUCGCAAGACCUCCCGCUAUUGGAGCGGCCGAUAUCAGAUUAGCUAGUUGGUGGGGUAAAGGCCUACCAAGGCAACGAUCUGUAGUUGGUCUGAGAGGACGACCAGCCACACUGGGACUGAGACACGGCCCAGACUCCUACGGGAGGCAGCAGUGGGGAAUUUUGGACAAUGGGCGCAAGCCUGAUCCAGCAAUGCCGCGUGCAGGAAGAAGGCCUUCGGGUUGUAAACUGCUUUUGUCAGGGAAGAAAUCUUCUGGGCUAAUACCCCGGGAGGAUGACGGUACCUGAAGAAUAAGCACCGGCUAACUACGUG
rnacentral:rRNA from 1 species